ACCGUGACCUGGGCUGAAGGCAGAGGCUUAAUGACUGAGCCACCUAGGUACCCCUGAAUUACUUCCCUUAUUGUUAUGCCCUUUGGCAUAUUUUUAUCUCUAGGAGUAAAGCAGAGCAGAAUGGCAACUAUGGUUCCUGUAACAAGCCAUGUCAGAUACGACCCUGCAAGUAAGAUUGUGACUGUGGUCAGAUUACUUCAUUGAAAAAUAAAAAUCAAGAGGGUAAAAGCAACAGGAACCAUGAAAGAAAUCACCAUUUGCCAAAACUAAUGUUUGUCCAGAUCAAGCAGAGUUUAUACUAACAAGCUAAAAAAUCGAGGAAAAAAUCUACCGCACAGACUCUAAAAAUCCAUCUAGUUAAAAAUAGAAGUAUUUACAUUUUAAACUACCUUGAUCUGAACUCCUCCAAGGAACUCUACAUCAUUAAAAUCCCCAGGGCCUUAUAAGAGAUGAGAGAGAUUUUAAGGUGACCUGUUUUCUUGGUUAGCUGCUAAUAUUAUAGAACUGGAUUAUAGGUAAUCCAAUCUCAAGCCUUUCAGAAUGGCCUGUUUGCAUUCGGAGCUCUCUAGUUCCGCAGUCCUAUAAAGUGACCUACCUGCCAAGUUCACAGUUCACUGGAAAUAAUGACUAAACUUCAACAAGGUCUCACACUUGGAAGAGAAUGCUGCCAGUCUGCUUGACGCCAGGAAAGCAAGUGUGCUUGGAGCUCUGUGUCCUUCCCUGACCCCAGAAAAAAAAACACCUCCGACCCCACGAGAAAAGGAAGCAAGGGUCCCAUGCCACGAUAACAAUCCUGUGGUGACACAGGCCCAAGACUUAGGUUUUUGUGGUCUCUUAAGAAGAGGUCGUUGCACAAAAGCAAACAUUUUAGAUCAUUGCUUUAUUUCACUAUUGUUUAACAACAAAGUUCAUUCCUCUCCAGGUGGAUCUUGAAUUGUUCUUUUGUGUUCUUUUCCUCAUCCUGAAUAAAAAAGGUAAUGAAGAAAAAGCCUGUACUUUUGGAGACCUAGAAUCUUACUUAUGCUAAUAAGCUUUUGACUGCGAUUUCGUGGUCUGGUAUUUCCUGCUGGCAUCUUGGUGGUCCCACGGAGCUCCCCACCCUCCAGUGAAGAUGGCUGUCCACAACUACCACCGUUGAAACCAAAGGUUAAGAUGAGGAGUUGGUUUUCCUGGCUGAGAUUUACACUGAAGACUGGUCCCAGACCUAGGAGCAAAAGGAGGAGUUUUAGCUCAGGGGGCCAAGAGUUGUUGGGCUUGCCCCGCACGAUCCCGGCUGGACACGUGCCGUGCUUGGUCUCCCUGCGGCCAGUAACACCGAGCGCCACCCAGGCUGGCACCAGUGAGCAGAGCCAUGCUGCGGAGCUUGGGGUUCAUCAGGGAAAUGAAAAAUCACAGAAAAUUCUCCAAAGCUUUGGAUGGAUCUCUGUUAAACACACAUACGCUGGACCCUUUUUAUUGCUCCACAAACUAGGAACAAGCAUGACCCUCACCGUUCAGAUAAGAAUGUGAGACAGACUGGGGGUUGGCCUGUGCUAAGAAGCUGACACAGGUCAGUUUGACAUCCUAAUCCCCACUUUGUAAUCCUACCGACCUAGUAUUUUGCAGACCCUCGAAGGCACAGAAGGAAGUCUUCUCUUACGGGCUGAGGCUACUACGAGACCCUUGAUACAAGGGAGCAAUUUUGAGAAAGCCUGCACUCAUCACUGCCAGCAGCCCUAUCUGUCCCCCUCCUCGGCCUAGUGCUCGGUCACCUCUCUUUCCAGGUGGCUUUCCAAGCCUCCUUGGCACCCAGUGCUGAGGUGAAAGGUGUGGGGAUCAGACCGGACAGAAUCAGAAACCCGAGCAGGACAAAUAAAAAUGGUAUAGUUGGCACAAAACGUGUCCCUGGCCCCAAAGGUUGAUAGUAAUAACCAAACAACUGAAAACACUGCGCCUUUCUGUAUGGCCCAUCCAGCCUCCACCCAGCUCCAGCUUGGGUAUUUCAAACAAAGAUUUCAGCAAAUACAGCCCUAACCAUUCUCUCUGAAGAAGCAAGAUCCAGAACAGAACUGAGUCAAUUCCUUCCCACUCUAAUGAGCAGAAAAAGUACUCAAUCCUCAUCACCUCCGCACAAUCAGGGCUAGGAAAAGGGUUACUUAAAAUGGGUACAUUUUAUAGAGAAUAUUAUUUGGAAAACAUAUUUGAUUGAUUGGGGGCUUUAUCAAAGAAAAUAAAGCAGAAAUCAGGAAAGUAAAUGUAUCCUUGUUAUUUUUAAAAUCUAAAUUACAAUUGGAAUUUCAUGCCGAUUCUGAGUGAGCCAAGCAUGAAUCACAUACUGAUUUAUCUUGCUCUAAUUUUUGCAACAAAACAGUAUGCUAAUAGGCUCAAUGACAUACUUUCCAUCAAUGUUGGACUUUUGCAGUAGAGUCAAAGUCAUUUCUUCAAAACUGUUUGAGAGUGUUAUUGAUUUUCCCAGAGGCCUAUCUUAAUCCUUGAUAUUUAAAUCCUUCUCUUUGAAAGGCGCCAAACUUCUUGUUGUUGUUUCCUUCAGUUUUUGACCUAACUGCCAGAAUCAGUUUUGUCAAUGCCCAUAAUUAGAAACAAGAAAAGCAAUGACACCUACUGGGGGAGGAGAGACUCUGUAGAGCAAGCUUGAGGGCCAAAUCCAGACAGAUGACCCGUUUUUAUAAAUAAAGUUUUUAUUGGAACACAGCCAUGCCCAUCUGGUUAUGCACUGUCUAUAGCUUUCACAGAAUAAUACCUGAAUAAUUAAGAGAGGCCAUAUGGCCCACAAAGCCAAAAAUAUUU